GUUUGAGCGUCCGCUCUGCAUUCAGACUACAUUUCCCAGAAAGCCGAGGGACGAGGGCGAAGGGCGCAUGUGCGGACGCCGCUGGGGGGGCGGGGGGGCACGGCAGCGUGGGGCGAGGCGCGAAGCGGAGAGCUGACAAGGAAGGUUUCUGGAUCCUCCCUGGCCAGGGGAUUUCUCACAGCCUCCAGCCAUGCGUCUUUCUGCCCUACUGGCCUUGGCAUCCAAGGUCACUCUGCCCCGUGACUACCGCUAUGGGAUGAGCCGCCCAGGCUCUCUUGCAGACAAGAGGAAGAACCCUCCGGGGACCAGGCGGCGCCGGGUGGCCGUGGAGCCCGUCUCGGAUGAAGAAUGGCAUCUGUUCUGUGGGGACAGGGUGGAGGUCCUAGAAGGCAAGGAUGCUGGGAAACAAGGCAAAGUGGUCCAAGUCAUCCGGCAGCGCAACUGGGUGGUCCUGGAGGGACUGAACACGCACUACCGUUAUGUGGGCAAGACCGUGGAUUCCCGGGGAACCAUGAUCCCCAGUGAAGCACCCCUGCUCCACCGCCAGGUCAAACUCGUGGAUCCCGUGGACAGGCAAGCACGUGGGGCUCUGGUCAGAGGGCUGCCCGCCCAGCGAGUGUGCAUCAGUGUUGAUCCCGUUUCUACAAAAGGAAUGGUGGGUUGGAGGUUCUGGAGAUUGAAAGGGGCCAUCCCUCUCGUGGACGUGAGCCCUGUGGGUCACCCCCAAUACAGACAUAGCAGCAGCAAGAUGGUGACCUUCAUGUUUUCAGCCGUUGACUUUUUGGGGCGGCACGUAGCCGGAAGACGUGGUUCCCAGGCUGGGUUCACCUCUUCUGUCCACUAGGAAACCCACUGAUGUGGAGUGGAGAUUCACGGAGGCAGGAGAGCGGGUACGUGUCUCCACAAGAUCAGGAAGAAUUAUCCCCAAACCUGAGUUUCCCAGAGCUGAUGGCAUCGUCCCUGAAACCUGGACUGAUGGCCCCAAAGACACAUCAGUGGAAGAUGCUCUAGAAAGAACCUACGUGCCCCGUUUAAAGACACUGGAGGAGGAGGUGAUGGAGGCGAUGGGGAUCCAGGAGAUGCGGAGACACAAGAAAGUCUAUUGGUACUGAUCCUGGGAAUCAGCUGGAGAUCAGCUUCCCCCCUCCUUGUCUUAGCCUCGAAGGUCCAGGCCACCUCUCCUUCAGACACCAAGAGAGCCAGGAGUUCCCCCACACGCGUCUGCUAGAUCGGCACCUUAACCCAGCGCACCUGUUUCUGGGACUGAAGGAAGGGGCAUCUGUCCUUACGUUGUGACAGCCUGGGUGGAAGUUAGGCAGCCUCCACAGGGACAGGGCCUGCGGGUUCUGGGAGACCCGUGAGUAACGAGAUGCUACCCGUCAGGGAGGCUGGCGGGAGCAGGGGUGGAAAAAUAGAAAUGGCAGAGAAAUAAAGAUUUCAUUUAUUUAAUAAAUUAAAAAUAAACCUUUA